rnacentral:rRNA from 1 species
CCCUUAGAUGUUCUGGGCCGCACGCGCGCUACACUGAUGCAUUCAACGAGUCUAAAACCUGGUCUGAUAGGGCUGGGUAAUCUUUUGAAUGUGCAUCGUGAUUGGGAUAGAUGAUUGCAAUUCUUCAUCUUCAACGAGGAAUGCCUAGUAAACGCAAGUCAUCAGCUUGCAUUGAUUACGUCCAUGCCCUUUGUACACACCGCCCGUCGCUCCUACCGAUUGAAUGUUCCGAUGAAUACCAUGGACUGAGAGUAUGAAUGGGUUCGCCUAUUUCUGCUUCUCGGGAAGUGGAGUAAAUCUUAACAUUUAGAGGAAGGAGAAGUCGUAACA